AACUCUUAUAGAGAGUUUCUGUUGGUGCUGGUACUGCCCGGGAACUCGGCAAAUUGACACCGUAACUUCGGAAGAAGGUGUGCCUUUAGUAGGUGAAGUCCCUCGCGGAUGGAGCCCAAUGAGGUUGCAAAGAAUCGGUGGCUGCGACUGUUUAUUAAAAACACAGCACUCUGCAAACACGAAAGUGGACGUAUAGGGUGUGACGCCUGCCCGGUGCUGGAAGAUUAAAUGAUGGGGUGCAAGCUCUUGAUUGAAGUCCCAGUAAACGGCGGCCGUAACAAUAACGGUCCUAAGGUAGCGAAAUUCCUUGUCGGGUAAGUUCCGACCUGCACGAAUGGCGUAACGAUGGCCACACUGUCUCCUCCUGAGACUCAGCGAAGUUGAAAUGUUUGUGAUGAUGCAAUCUCCCCGCGGAAAGACGGAAAGACCCCAUGAACCUUUACUGUAGCUUUGUAUUGGACUUUGAACAGAUCUGUGUAGGAUAGGUGGGAGGCUUUGAAGCAGGGUCGCUAGAUCUUGUGGAGCCAACGUUGAAAUACCACCCUGGUGUGUUUGAGGUUCUAACCUAGGCCCGUAAUCCGGGUUGGGGACAGUGCAUGGUAGGCAGUUUGACUGGGGCGGUCUCCUCCCAAAGUGUAACGGAGGAGUUCGAAGGUACGCUAGUUACGGUCGGACAUCGUGACGAUAGUGCAAUGGCAUAAGCGUGCUUAACUGCGAGACUGACAAGUCGAGCAGAUGCGAAAGCAGGACAUAGUGAUCCGGUGGUUCUGUAUGGAAGGGCCAUCGCUCAACGGAUAAAAGGUACUCUGGGGAUAACAGGCUGAUACCGCCCAAGAGUUCAUAUCGACGGCGGUGUUUGGCACCUCGAUGUCGGCUCAUCUCAUCCUGGGGCUGUAGCCGGUCCCAAGGGUAUGGCUGUUCGCCAUUUAAAGAGGUACGUGAGCUGGGUUUAAAACGUCGUGAGACAGUUUGGUCCCUAUCUUCCGUGGGCGCUGCAGAUUUGAGGAAGCCUGCUCCUAGUACGAGAGGACCGGAGUGGACGCACCUCUGGUGUAUCGGUUGUCACGCCAGUGGCAUUGCCGAGUAGCUAUGUGCGGAAGAGAUAACCGCUGAAAGCAUCUAAGCGGGAAACUCGUUUCAAGAUGAGAUCUGCCGGGGCCUUGAGCCCCCUGAAGAGUCGUUCAAGACCAGGACGUUGAUAGGUCGGGUGUGGAAGCGCAGUAAUGCGUUAAGCUAACCGAUACUAAUUGCUCGUGCGGCUUGACCC
rnacentral:rRNA from 1 species